ACUACUACUGUCAUAGUACUGUAUUAUUAUCACAUUUCAGUCUCGAUGGAGCUGGGAAACUGCCCACUGGAUACGCUGUUAUAGAGGGACACCCUGACCUCAGGUUGUUGUCUAUGACCCAGGAGCAUGGCAGAGUGGAGCCUCUCUCAGGACAACUGGACUACAGCAGAUACCCCCUGGGAACACUGCUGACUAUUAUACCUUACCAUGCUUGUGCGACAGCCAUGAUGCAUUCUGUGUACUACGUCCACUCUGGAGGUCGGCUGGUGGGAAAGUGGACACCCACACGUGGCUGGUGAUCAAAGGAGCAUCAUGGGAAAUGUAGUUCUGAGAGUGAGUGUUGGAGGGAAUCAGCCUGAGCAAAGAGCUGGACAGAAUCACUAAUCACCUUGAAGCUCAAAGGACUUAUUGGGAAAUGUCCUUCCUAUCUUUUCCUUUCCUCAUCGUUUCUAUUGUCCGUCCUGCAUUGGGGCGGUACUAUACAGCUGUCACUGACACUAAACCAUGUUUUACACUAAUAAAUGAACCACUUUCCUUAAACCUUUUGUAUUCUCAAUGGUCAUUGUUAGUAAUAGCAAAUAUACACUGUACAAAACAUUAGGAACACCUGCUCCUUCCAUGACAGACUGACCAGGUGAAAGUUAUGAUCCCUUAUUGAUGUCACUUGUUAAAUCCACUUCAAUCAGUGUAGAUGAAGGGGAGGAGACGGGUUAAAUAAGGAUUUAAGUCUUGAGAUGAUUGUAUGUGUGCUUUUGAGGGAGAAUUGGCAAAACAAAAGAUUGAAGUGCCUUUGAACCACAUGAGGCUGGUGAUUGGAGGACACCUCGUAAUGGCACGAACGGCAUGGAAACCAUGUGUUUGAUACCUUUCCCCUCUAGCCAUUACCACGAGCCUCCCCAGUUUGAGUCAAGAACUGCAAAGCUGCUGGGUUUUUACGCUCAACAGUUUCCCGUGUGUAUCAAGAAUGGUCCUCCACCCAAAGGACAUCCAGCCAACUUGCCACAACUGUGGGGAAGCAUUGGAGUUGACAUGGACCAGCAUCCUUGUGGAGUCCAUGUCCUGAUGAAUGGGGGCUGUCAUGAGGACAAAAGUUAGUGCAACUCAAUAUUAGGAAGGUGUUCUUAAUGUUUUGUACCCUCCGUGUAGGUUUUCCCCUAAUUUGUUAUGUUAGUUUUGGGCUCCCAAGCAGCACAGCAGUCUAAGGCACUGUAUCUGAGGCAUCACUACAGACACCCUGGUUCGAUUCCAGGCUGUAUCACAACCGGCUGUGAUUGGGAGUCCCAUAAGGCGGCGCACAAUUGGCCCAGCAUCGUCUAGGCCGUCAUUGUAAAUAUGAAUGUUAACUGACUUGCCUAGUUAAAUUUAAAUAAAAAUAGUUGAUUAAUUUG